GGUUAGAUGGUGUAAUGGUAACACCUCCCGGCACUUAAAAAAAAUGGGAUGACCUGGGUUCAAUCCCCAGUCUGACCA